GCCAGCCGCUCAGAAACUCAAGGAAUUGACGGGGCCGCGACAAGCGGUGGAGCAUGUGGUUUAAUUCGAUGAUACGCGAGGAACCUUACCUGGGCUCAAAUGUAUGUUGACGUAUUCUGAAAGGGAUACUUCUUCGGACAAUAUACAAGGUGCUGCAUGGUUGUCGUCAGCUCGUGCCGUGAGGUGUCGGGUUAAGUCCCAUAACGAGCGCAACCCCUAUCAUUAGUUGCCAUCAGGUCAAGCUGGGGACUCUAAUGAAACUGCCUACGCAAGUAGUGAGGAAGGUGGGGAUGACGUCAAAUCAGCACGGCCCUUACGUCCAGGGCUACACACGUGCUACAAUGGCCGGUACAAAGGGCAGCUACCUGGUGACAGGAUGCUAAUCUCAAAAGCCGGUCUCAGUUCGGAUCGGAGUCUGCAACUCGACUCCGUGAAGCUGGAUUCGCUAGUAAUCGCGCAUCAGCCACGGCGCGGUGAAUACGUUCCCGGGCCUU
rnacentral:rRNA from 1 species